rnacentral:rRNA from 1 species
AGUGAACGCUGGCGGUAGGCCUAACACGUGCAGGUCGAACGGCAGCACAGUAAGAGCUUGCUCUUACGGGUGGCGAGUGGCGGGCGGGUGAGGAAUACAUCGGAAUCUACUUUUUCGUGGGGGAUAACGUAGGGAAACUUACGCUAAUACCGCAUACGACCUACGGGUGAAAGCAGGGGAUCUUCGGACCUUGCGCGAUUGAAUGAGCCGAUGUCGGAUUAGCUAGUUGGCGGGGUAAAGGCCCACCAAGGCGACGAUCCGUAGCUGGUCUGAGAGGAUGAUCAGCCACACUGGAACUGAGACACGGUCCAGACUCCUACGGGAGGCAGCAGUGGGGAAUAUUGGACAAUGGGCGCAAGCCUGAUCCAGCCAUACCGCGUGGGUGAAGAAGGCCUUCGGGUUGUAAAGCCCUUUUGUUGGGAAAGAAAAGCAGCAGGUUAAUACCCCGCUGUUCUGACGGUACCCAAAGAAUAAGCACCGGCUAACUUCGUG